rnacentral:lncRNA from 1 species
UUCCUAAAAACGAGGACAUGGAAAAUAUAUUAGAACCCGGGAUUUUCGUGCACUAAUCAUUUUGAAAUUAAGGGUUCUCUCCAGGUGUUCGUCUUCCUCUUCAGCCCUGCCGACACACACACACACACACACACACACACACACACACACACACACUGGAUCAGAGGUCAUUGAUGGAGAAGCAUGAGAACAGCAGAUGCACCUUCAGUACCUAUGACCUGAACUCUGGCUGAAGGCUCACUUUGACUCCUGAAAUUCUCACAAGUCCUGACUCCACCUAAACACACUCUGUGGCAAAGAGAUGUGGGUGACUGCAAUCUGUGGCGUUUAAAACCCUCUCGGAACAACACUAUUGGGCCUAAUUCUGUCCCACAAUCCCACAGUGCCUUGCGGCAAGGAGACUCACUCUUUCUCCUGGGCGUCCAGGUCUCGGACCAGCGCAUCUCGUUUGUUGACUAGAAUGACCAGCUCAUCCAGCAGCAGCUGCUCUCGCCGCUUCUGGGCCUCUGUCUUCUGCCAGUCUGGAGGAUGGAGAGGAAAAGAGGAAUGUUAGAGGGAAAAAAACUCAGGACUUCAAAUGAUGAACAUGAACAUGACAGGUGAUCAUUUACAAACCCUCCAAACCUGUCUGAAUAUCAAGCUCUAAUAGAUUUAGAAAAAUCAUCCAGACUCAUCUGGGGUUCAAACUACACCAACCUUCAGAAUUGCAUUUUGUCAUGUAGCAUGGCUUUAUUCCUCUGGUGCUGUUCAUGUAUCUUUAUUUUAAUCUAAUAUAAUUUAACAUAAUUUAU